CUGAGCUGAGCUGAGCUGAGCUGAGCUAACCGGUGCUUGGACGGGCAGGG
ensembl:miRNA Gm22121 predicted gene, 22121